UCCUUUAGAAAAUAAUUAAAGGUAAUACCUGCUCAAUGUAACUGAUAAAUUGCUGCGGUAUCUUAACUGCACUAAGGUAGCAUAAUUAAUUGUCUUUUAAAUGGUGACUUGUUUGAAUGGUUUAAUGAGAAAAAGAUUUUCUUUUUGUUAAUAAGAAUUUAUAAUUUAAGGUUAAAAUACCUAAAUGAGAAAGAAAGACGAGAAGACCCUGUUGAGUUUAACAGCAUGAAGGGCUGUUUUAAUGGGAAAUUUAAUUUCUUUUUGAAAUUUUUCAGAUCCUGAAAAUCAUUUUUUGGAAAAAGGAUAAAAUUACCACAGGGAUAACAGGACUAUAUUUACUGAGAGUUCUAAUUGAAGUAAAUGUUUGUUACCUCGAUGUUGAAUCGAAAUUCUCUUCCUGGUGCAGCAAUUGGGAAAGUAGGUCUGUUCGACCUUUAAAAUUUCACGUGAUU
rnacentral:rRNA from 1 species